AGAACGAACGCUGGCGGCAGGCCUAACACAUGCAAGUCGAACGCUCCGCAAGGGGAGUGGCAGACGGGUGAGUAACACGUGGGAACAUACCCUUCGGUUCGGAAUAACUCAGGGAAACUUGAGCUAAUACCGGAUACGUCCUGGCGGAGAAAGAUUUAUCGCCGAAGGAUUGGCCCGCGUCCGAUUAGCUAGUUGGUGAGGUAACGGCUCACCAAGGCGACGAUCGGUAGCUGGUCUGAGAGGAUGAUCAGCCACACUGGGACUGAGACACGGCCCAGACUCCUACGGGAGGCAGCAGUGGGGAAUAUUGGACAAUGGGCGCAAGCCUGAUCCAGCCAUGCCGCGUGAGUGAUGAAGGCCCUAGGGUUGUAAAGCUCUUUCGUCAGGGACGAUAAUGACGGUACCUGAAGAGAAGCCCGGCUAACUUCGUGCCAGCAGCCGC
rnacentral:rRNA from 1 species